rnacentral:rRNA from 2 species
CGAGCGGAAGAAGGAUUGCUCGCGGAUGUAGCGGGGACCGAGCGGACAGAAGGGAGCUUGCUCCCGGAUGUUAGCGGCGGACGGGUGAGUAACACGUGGGUAACCUGCCUGUAAGACUGGGAUAACUCCGGGAAACCGGAGCUAAUGCCGGAUAGUUCCUUGAACCGCAUGGUUCAAGGAUGAAAGACGGUUUCGGCUGUCACUUACAGAUGGACCCGCGGCGCAUUAGCUAGUUGGUGAGGUAACGGCUCACCAAGGCGACGAUGCGUAGCCGACCUGAGAGGGUGAUCGGCCACACUGGGACUGAGACACGGCCCAGACUCCUACGGGAGGCAGCAGUAGGGAAUCUUCCGCAAUGGACGAAAGUCUGACGGAGCAACGCCGCGUGAGUGAUGAAGGUUUUCGGAUCGUAAAGCUCUGUUGUUAGGGAAGAACAAGUGCAAGAGUAACUGCUUGCACCUUGACGGUACCUAACCAGAAAGCCACGGCUAACUACGUGCCAGCAGCCGCGGUAAUACGUAGGUGGCAAGCGUUGUCCGGAAUUAUUGGGCGUAAAGGGCUCGCAGGCGGUUUCUUAAGUCUGAUGUGAAAGCCCCCGGCUCAACCGGGGAGGGUCAUUGGAAACUGGGAAACUUGAGUGCAGAAGAGGGGAG